UUUUGUUAAAGAUGCCUGACUUUGCCUGUGUUUAUGAACAUUUCUACUGGACUACAAUUUAAAAAAAUAUUUGUGAUCGCGUGCAAUGCGGUCUGUAGAAUCAGUGUUUGUUACGUAACAGUUUUUUUUUAAAUAUUUUAGUGUAUAAUAGCUCUAAUUAAAUUAUCAUAAGUAUUCGGGAAACUAGAGUCAGUGCUUGUUCGUCGCCUAUAUUUUAAAUCGACGCGGUGGUAGUUUUUUAUUUUUUAUUUUAUUUUUUUAAAUAUUCGUUUUCGGUACAGGGUAGAGUCAGUGUUUCUCGAAGGAAUAGGGCAAUCAUCCACCACGCGAAGAGUUUCCACUUCCUGAUGAUGACUACUUUCACGAUGACAUCUUGGGCCACGACAAUGCAGAUUCUUCGCAUCUAUUGGUGAGUCGCAUGCAUUUAUGUUCCUCCGGUCAUUCAAUCAUGUCGUAGGACGAAAGGUCCCAAUCGACACGGAUGAUUGGUUGUAUACGUAGAUUUUUGCACGAGCAUAAUGACCGCGGGUAUUUAUCAUACCCGUGAAUAGUAACAUUUCUUUGUACUUUAUUUAUUAGAUCAGGAUAGAUCUUCUUGCACGUCGCGUUUUUAAGAUAAUAUUAAUAGUUAAUAUUAUAUAAUAUAUAUCUAAAAUUAUUUUAAUAUGAUUAGUAUGGACGAUACAAAUUAGUUUGAUUGUUUAUAGUUGAAAAUGUUUUGUAAUUUAUUUGUAAAAUAAAGAUUAAACAACUAUAUGAAUCGAACUAUUUGAAUAACUAUAUGAAUUUAGUAAUAA